rnacentral:rRNA from 1 species
GCUGCUCCUAGUACGAGAGGACCGGAGUGGACGAACCUCUGGUGUUCGGGUUGUGUCGCCAGACGCAUUGCCCGGUAGCUAAGUUCGGAAUCGAUAACCGCUGAAAGCAUCUAAGCGGGAAGCGAGCCCUGAGAUGAGUCUUCCCUGAUACUUUAAGUAUCCUAAAGGGUUGUUCGAGACUAGAACGUUGAUAGGCAGGGUGUGUAAGUGCUGUGAGGCAUUGAGCUAACCUGUACUAAUUGCCCGUGAGGCUUAACCAU